rnacentral:rRNA from 1 species
UACCAGCUCUUCGAGUGGUGUGGAUGUUUAUUGGGCCUAAAGCAUCCGUAGCUGGCUGGGCAAGUCCCCUGUUAAACCCACCGAUUUAAUCGUUGGAGUGCGGGGGAUACUGUUCGGCUAGGGGACGGGAGAGGCAGACGGUAUUUUCGGGGUAGGGGUGAAAUCCUAUAAUCCCGGGAAGACCACCAGUGGCGAAGGCUGUCUGCUAGAACGCGCCCGUCGGUGAGGGAUGAAAGCUGGGGGAGCGAACCGGAUUAGAUACCCGGGUAGUCCCAGCUGUAAACGAUGCAGGCUAGGUGUUUGGGCGGCCACGUGCCGCUCUAGUGCCGCAGGGAAGCCGUUAAGCCUGCCGCCUGGGGAGUACGGCCGCAAGGCUGAAACUUAAAGGAAUUGGCGGGGGAGCACCACAAGGGGUGAAGCUUGCGGUUU